rfam:Ixodes scapularis strain Wikel colony gcontig_1108379731108, whole genome shotgun sequence.
GCAGUCGUGGCCGAGUGGUUAAGGUGAUGGACUAGAAAUCCAUUGGGGUCUCCCCGUACAUUCUCAAAUCCUGUCGACUGCG